UUAAAGUUAGUUAGGGUAGGGGGAUCUCGCCGAUAGGGAGGGGAAACUACGGGGAACGGGUGGAUAAUACCGCAUAAUGUCUACGGACCAAAGCAGGGGCUCUUCGGACCUUGCACUAUCGGAUGAACCCAUAUGGGAUUAGCUAGUAGGUGGGGUAAAGGCUCACCUAGGCGACGAUCUCUAGCUGGUCUGAGAGGAUGAUCAGCCACACUGGGACUGAGACACGGCCCAG
rnacentral:rRNA from 1 species